GAUCUUCUGAUGAGGUCAGCCUUCUGGUGAUUCCGACUUUAUGCUGAGAUCGGCUUUAUGAUGAUUUCCAUGUUCCGACUUCGCAUUAGUAGCUUCACGUUGGUAUUCUUCCAAUGAUAUCGGCUUUUAUCGAGAUAAGCCUCCGAUCGAGACCGGUUGGAUGAGGUCGAUUGGAUGAUGAGGAUCUAUCCCAACAAUAAUCACUAGUAUAAAGUUGUAUACAUCAUCAUUCAUGCGUCGUUCGGUAUCAUGGUCAAUAUUUAUAGCCUAUUU
rnacentral:lncRNA from 1 species